UACGGAGGGUGCAAGCGUUAUCCGGAUUUACUGGGUUUAAAGGGUGCGUAGGUGGGCAGUCAAGUCAGUGGUGAAAUCUCCGAGCUUAACUCGGAAACUGCCAUUGAUACUAUCUGUCUUGAAUAUCCUGGAGGUGAGCGGAAUAUGUCAUGUAGCGGUGAAAUGCUUAGAUAUGACAUAGAACACCAAUUGCGAAGGCAGCUCACUACGGGAUUAUUGACACUGAGGCACGAAAGCGUGGGGAUCAAACAGG
rnacentral:rRNA from 1 species